rnacentral:rRNA from 1 species
CCUACGGGUGGUUGCAGUGGGGAAUAUUGGACAAUGGGGGCAACCCUGAUCCAGCCAUGCCGCGUGUGUGAAGAAGGCCCUCGGGUUGUAAAGCACUUUCAGUGAGGAAGAACGCCUGGUGGUUAAUACCCAUCAGGAAAGACAUCACUCACAGAAGAAGCACCGGCUAACUCCGUGCCAGCAGCCGCGGUAAUACGGAGGGUGCGAGCGUUAAUCGGAAUUACUGGGCGUAAAGCGCGCGUAGGUGGCUUGAUAAGCCGGUUGUGAAAGCCCCGGGCUCAACCUGGGAACGGCAUCCGGAACUGUCAAGCUAGAGUGCAGGAGAGGAAGGUAGAAUUCCCGGUGUAGCGGUGAAAUGCGUAGAGAUCGGGAGGAAUACCAGUGGCGAAGGCGGCCUUCUGGACUGACACUGACACUGAGGUGCGAAAGCGUGGGUAGCAAACAGGAUUAGAUACCCCGGUAGUC